AGCAGCCGCGGUAAUUCCAACUCCAAUAGCGUAUAUUAAAGUUGUUGCAGUUAAAAAGCUCGUAGUUGAAUUUCGGGAUUUGUCAGUUGGUCGGGCUUCACUGUCCGUAUUGACUUGAUGGAUUCUUACCUUCUGAAUAACCAGCAUGCUAUUAAGUUAGUGCGUUGGGGAAGCAGAUCUAUUACCUUGAAAAAAUUAGAGUGCUUAAAGCGAGCUAGUGCUUGAAUAGAUUAGCAUGGAAUAAUAAAAUAGGACGGCAUGGUUCUAUUUUGUUGGUUUCUAGGAUCACCGUAAUGAUUAAUAGGGAUAGUUGGGGGCAUUAGUAUUCAAUUGUCAGAGGUGAAAUUCUUGGAUUUAUUGAAGACUAACUUCUGCGAAAGCAUUUGCCUAAGGAUGUUUUCAUUAAUCAAGAACGAAAGUUAGGGGAUCGAAGACGAUCAGAUACCGUCGUAGUCUUAACCAUAAACUAUGCCGACUAGGAAUCGGACGAUGUUAAUUUUAUAAUGACUCGUUC
rnacentral:rRNA from 1 species